AUUUCUUUCUCAACAAAAGACUUUUUGACAUCUCAUUUUUUGUCUCACUUUUAUUUUUUUACUUACUUUCAUGAUAUUUAUUGCUGAAAUCAUGUAAAGAUUCAUAUCGUCAAGCAAUCUAACAUAAUUAGACAGCAAUCAAGAUCUGAAUUAAAAAUCCUCCUUCAGUUAUGAUACAAGACAUUACUGGUAAUUAUUUUCCAUACAGUACAAAGAAGAUAAGUUCUCCCUCUGUUUCCAGAUGGCAAAGAUAGAAGCUGUGUUCCUGUUUGUUCUACCCCUAAAAACAAACCCUGGAAACAACAACAACAACAACAACAACAACAACAACAACAACAACAACAACAAAAGGAACAUUCAAGUGUGAAGGAAGGCAAAUGAAAAAUGGUGUGUUGUUCCCAAGGUACUAUCAUUGUUGUGGAG
rnacentral:lncRNA from 1 species